rnacentral:rRNA from 1 species
CAGUCGCCGCGGGAAUACGUAGGUGGCAAGCGUUGUCCGGAAUUAUUGGGCGUAAGGGGCUCGCAGGCGGUUUCUUAAGUCUGAUGUGAAAGCCCCCGGCUCAACCGGGGAGGGUCAUUGGAAACUGGGAAACUUGAGUGCAGAAGAGGAGAGUGGAAUUCCACGUGUAGCGGUGAAAUGCGUAGAGAUGUGGAGGAACACCAGUGGCGAAGGCGACUCUCUGGUCUGUAACUGACGCUGAGGCGCGAAAGCGUGGGGAGCAAACAGGAUUAGAUACCCCGGUAGUCCCUGUCUCUUAUAC